CGAGGUANUNAAUUAGUANNGACGGAUGGACCNUUCAGGCUGANAUCGAGCGNGGAAGGAACUCUAUAUAUCUGGUCUGCUGCAGGCGCGGCUCAGGGUCUCCGCGACCCUCCCGGCCUCCCGCCUCCGGGCGGGUCGGCGCCCGCCGGAGGAUAACCAAACUCUGAUUUAACGACGUUUCUUCUGAGUGGUACAAGCAAAUAAUCAAAACUUUNAACAACGGAUCUCUUGGUUCUGGCAUCGAUGAAGAACGCAGACGAAAUGCGAUAAGUAAUGUGAAUUGCAGAAUUCAGUGAAUCAUCGAAUCUUUGAACGCACAUUGCGCCCGCCAGCAUUUCUAGGUCGGGCAUGUCACUAGUUUCGAGCGUUCAUUUCAACCCUACAAGACUCUGACUUGGUGUUGGGGACCCUUACAGCCGAAUGUAGGACCCUACAAAGGUAGUAGGACAGGACCCUUCCCGGAGACCUACCUUUGUCGUUAGUAAACUUUAACGUCUACGCACUGGGAUCCGGAGGGACUCUUGCCGUAAAACCCCCCAAUUUUCCAAAGGUUGACCUACGGAUACAGGUAGGAAUACCCGGCUGAACUUAAGCAUAUCAAUAAGCGGAGGA
rnacentral:rRNA from 1 species